AUGCCCCAUUGUAGGGUGCAUCUGAGUGCACACCCUCUUCUCAGGACCGACUCUUCAGUCCCAUGCCACUCUGCGUUCACACCCUCUUCUCAGGACAGACUCUUCAGUCCCAUGCCACUCUGCGUUCACACCCUCUUCUCAGGACAGACUCUUCAGUCCCAUGCCACUCUGCGUUCACACCCUCUUCUCAGGACAGACUCUUCAGUCCCAUGCCACUCUGCGUUCACACCCUCUUCUCAGGACAGACUCUUCAGUCCCAUGCCACUCUGCGUUCACACCCUGUUCUCAGGACAGACUCUUCAGUCCCAUGCCACUCUGCGUUCACACCCUCUUCUCAGGACAGACUCUUCAGUCCCAUGCCACUCUGCGUUCACACCCUGUUCUCAGGACAGACUCUUCAGUCCCAUGCCACUCUGCGUUCACACCCUGUUCUCAGGACAGACUCUUCAGUCCCAUGCCACUCUGCGUUCACACCCUCUUCUCAGGACCGACUCUUCGGUCCCAUGCCACUCUGUGUUCACACCCUCUUCUCAGGACAGACUCUUCAGUCCCAUGCCACUCUGCAUUCACACCCUCUUCUCAGGACAGACUCUUCAGUCCCAUGCCACUCUGUGUUCACACCCUGUUCUCAGGACAGACUCUUCAGUCCCAUGCCACUCUGCGUUCACACCCUGUUCUCAGGACAGACUCUUCAGUCCCAUGCCACUCUGCGUUCACACCCUCUUCUCAGGACCGACUCUUCGGUCCCAUGCCACUCUGUGUUCACACCCUCUUCUCAGGACAGACUCUUCAGUCCCAUGCCACUCUGCAUUCACACCCUCUUCUCAGGACAGACCCUUCAGUCCCAUGCCACUCUGUGUUCACACCCUGUUCUCAGGACAGACUCUUCAGUCCCAUGCCACUCUGCGUUCACACCCUGUUCUCAGGACAGACUCUUCAGUCCCAUGCCACUCUGCGUUCACACCCUCUUCUCAGGACCGACUCUUCGGUCCCAUGCCACUCUGUGUUCACACCCUCUUCUCAGGACAGACUCUUCAGUCCCAUGCCACUCUGCAUUCACACCCUCUUCUCAGGACAGACUCUUCAGUCCCAUGCCACUCUGUGUUCACACCCUGUUCUCAGGACAGACUCUUCAGUCCCAUGCCAUUCUGCGUUCACACCCUGUUCUCAGGACAGACUCUUCGGUCCCACGCUGCGUUCACACCCUGUUCUCAGGACAGACUCUUCAGUCCCAUGCCACUCUGCAUUCACACCCUCUUCUCAGGACAGACUCUUCAGUCCCAUGCCACUCUGUGUUCACACCCUGUUCUCAGGACAAACUCUUCAGUCCCAUGCUGCGUUCACACCCUGUUCUCAGGACCAACUCUUCAGUCCCAUGCCACUCUGCGUUCACACCCUGUUCUCAGGACCGACUCUUCAGUCCCAUGCCACUCUGUGUUCACACCCUGUUCUCAGGACAAACUCUUCAGUCCCAUGCCACUCUUCGUUCACACCCUCUUCUCAGGACAGACUCUUCAGUCCCAUGCCACUCUGCGUUCACACCCUCUUCUCAGGACAGACUCUUCAGUCCCAUGCCACUCUGCGUUCACACCCUCUUCUCAGGACAGACUCUUCGGUCCCAUGCCACUCUGCAUUCACACCCUCUUCUCAGGACAGACUCUUCGGUCCCAUGCCACUCUGCGUUCACACCCUCUUCUCAGGACAGACUCUUCGGUCCCAUGCCACUCUGCGUUCACACCCUCUUCUCAGGACAGACUCUUCGGUCCCAUGCCACUCUGCGUUCACACCCUCUUCUCAGGACAGACUCUUCGGUCCCAUGCC
rnacentral:lncRNA from 1 species